UACGGAGGGGGCUAGCGUUAUCCGGAAUUAUUGGGCGUAAAGGAUGCGUAGAUGGCGUAACAAGUUAUCGGUGGUAAAUUGGGGCCUAACCUCAUGGAAGCCGUUAAUACUAUUAUGCUAGAGUUAAGGAGAAGUUAAUGGAACUCCAUGUGAAGCGGUAAAAUGCGACGAUAUAUGGAAGAACAUCAAUAAGGCGAAGGCAAUUAACUAUCCUUUUACUGACAUUGAGGCAUGAAAGCGUGGGGAGCAAAACGG
rnacentral:rRNA from 1 species